rnacentral:rRNA from 1 species
AGCGAACGCUGGCGGCAGGCCUAACACAUGCAAGUCGAACGAACCUUUCGGGGUUAGUGGCGGACGGGUGAGUAACACGUGGGAACGUGCCUUUAGGUUCGGAAUAACUCAGGGAAACUUGUGCUAAUACCGAAUGUGCCCUUCGGGGGAAAGAUUUAUCGCCUUUAGAGCGGCCCGCGUCUGAUUAGCUAGUUGGUUGAGGUAAUGGCUCACCAAGGCGACGAUCAGUAGCUGGUCUGAGAGGAUGAUCAGCCACAUUGGGACUGAGACACGGCCCAAACUCCUACGGGAGGCAGCAGUGGGGAAUCUUGCGCAAUGGGCGAAAGCCUGACGCAGCCAUGCCGCGUGAACGAUGAAGGUCUUAGGAUUGUAAAAUUCUUUCACCGGGGACGAUAAUGACGGUACCCGGAGAAGAAGCCCCGGCUAACUUCGUG